rnacentral:rRNA from 1 species
GGCGUACAGAACGAACGCUGGCGGCGCGCUUAAGCAUGCAAGUCGAACGGCAAGAGGUAGCAAUACCUCCUAGAGUGGCGGACUGGUGAGUAACACGUGGGUGACAUACCCUUCAGAUGGGGAUAGCUAUUAGAAAUAGUAGAUAAUACCGAAUACGAGCACAGGGGUUAGAGAUCUGUGAGGAAAGGAGCUAAGGCUCCGCUGAAGGAAUGGCCUGCGGCCCAUUAGCUAGUUGGUGAGGUAAGAGCCCACCAAGGCGAUGAUGGGUAUCCGGCCUUAGAGGGUGAACGGACACAUUGGGACUGAGAUACGGCCCAGACUCCUACGGGAGGCAGCAGCUAAGAAUAUUCCGCAAUGGACGAAAGUCUGACGGAGCGACGCCGCGUGGAUGAAGAAGGCCGGAAGGUUGUAAAAUCCUUUUGAAACUGAAGAAUAAGCGUUGUAGGGAAUGACAGCGUGGUGACAGUAGGUUUUGAAUAAGCAACGGCUAAUUACGUGCCAGCAGCGGC